rnacentral:rRNA from 1 species
GACGAACGCUGGCGGCGUGCUUAACACAUGCAAGUCGAACGGUAAGGCCCUUCGGGGUACACGAGUGGCGAACGGGUGAGUAACACGUGGGUGAUCUGCCCUGCACUUCGGGAUAAGCCUGGGAAACUGGGUCUAAUACCGGAUAGGACUCCUGCCUGCAUGGGUGGGGGUGGAAAGCUUUUGCGGUGUGGGAUGGGCCCGCGGCCUAUCAGCUUGUUGGUGGGGUGAUGGCCUACCAAGGCGACGACGGGUAGCCGGCCUGAGAGGGUGACCGGCCACACUGGGACUGAGAUACGGCCCAGACUCCUACGGGAGGCAGCAGUGGGGAAUAUUGCACAAUGGGCGCAAGCCUGAUGCAGCGACGCCGCGUGAGGGAUGACGGCCUUCGGGUUGUAAACCUCUUUCAGCACAGACGAAGCGCAAGUGACGGUAUGUGCAGAAGAAGGACCGGCCAACUACGUGCCAGCAGCCGCAGUAACAC